UCACGACUACAACUCUACGCUUCAUCACUGGUAAUAAAAAGGUUAAAAAAUGCUGUUACUUUAUGGCGUCAUAUUUGAGUCAAAAGUCGUGCGAGCGAUAACACAUCUGCAUGCGCAUUUAUUUCGUGUCACACGCGCAGAUUUCAACUGCUGCGCGCACUUGUCUGAUCUUCGCGCACAUAUUCAGCAACUGAGUUAAGCAGAUUCUCCCCCAUGCUCGCUCGCCAUGGAGCUCUGCUCGCGCGGAGUGAGGACUUUUGACACAUUGGGGGCGGGGCCAAGGCUGACCCCAGGCCUCUUAUGAUUGGUCAUUUUCCAGCCCUCCACGUCUGUGCCUUUUCAGUUUACUGCUGACAGCUGGUAGCGGCGGCAUCAUCUAAAGAACAACAACGGUUGUUUGAUGAACAUUGGAAGACUUUCUGAUCAGAGACUGGAGCGGUGGUCCGGAGAGAGGAGGAUGCUCUUUGGAUUUAUUCAUAUCAACACUACUUCACCUAAGAGACUUGAGUAUCCAGUUCUUCGUUGACCUUCAGCAUUCAGUUGUUUGUCUUCACCUUUUCAGGUUUCCUGUGUCCAGCAUCUUCAAGACAGACUAAGCUAACUUUUCAUAUUUUUUGCACAUUUAUAUUUAGGUUAGGUUAGGAGUACGUUAGGUUUAUAGUAGAGUAUUUAGUUUGUAUAGUUUAGCUUUUUAUGCUGGUGUAGGGACAGUUAAGUUAGCAAAUUAAUUUAGUUCAGAUCACUUACAGUUGCAUAUUAUUGUUACAAUUGUGUUAUUUUGUGAGUUAUUGUUGUACAGGCUAUUGUAUAUUGCAGGACCAAGUGAGACGAGGAAGACCACUGCUUCCAAGAUGCCGCUCAGAAAGUGCGUUGGACAAGUCUCGACCUUGCAGAUCCUGCCCCACUUAGCCCAACCACUUCCGACCAUGGGGUACCUCAAAGACCUCCGUCAACCAGCCGGCUUUGGAUGAUGGAUAACGCACCCACAACUCCUUCUCCAGUCUACAAGGUUCUGAAAAUACAGACACCCCUACAGUCCAAGAACAGCUGGAUGACCUCUGGACCCACUUGCCCCCGUUCACCAGUUGAAAAGAUAGGCUUUUUAAAAAAGUCUUCAAUUGUUAACUCUGCACAAAGUGAUACACAAAACAUUGUAUGUAUUCAAUUUCAACAAACACAAACAUGAAAUGUAUAUUUAAAUACAUGACUUAAUGCAAAUCAAUCAUACUAAACAUCAUCUUUUUUUUUUUAAACCAACCAUUGCACACACUUCCAUCCAAGGAGAGGUUACAUCUUGAUGGUAACUUUUUAGAUUAACAAAACUUUUGUGAGAUUUGUAAUUGUUGUUUCUGGGGAGGGGGCGGAGAGGGUAAGUCUAAACAUUGCAUGCAAGAG